rnacentral:rRNA from 1 species
UACGAAGGGGGCUAGCGUUGCUCGGAAUCACUGGGCGUAAAGCGCACGUAGGCGGAUUGCUAAGUCAGGGGUGAAAUCCUGGAGCUCAACUCCAGAACUGCCUUUGAUACUGGCGAUCUUAGAGUCCGGGAGAGGUGAGUGGAACUCCGAGUGUAGAGGUGAAAUUCGUAGAUAUUCGGAAGAACACCAGUGGCGAAGGCGGCUCACUGGCCCGGUACUGACGCUCAGGUGCGAAAGCGUGGGGAGCAAACAGG